UUCACUGGGGUAAAAAUACAGAUUUUAAUACCCGUCUUAUUUUAGUUCUAAGACUUGGCAAUUGCCAGGUAUCAUCUUUUCGAUUUACCCAGGUCCACCGCCGAGGCCACAAGGGAGAUUUCUUCCAGAGAGAGGAUAGAGUUAUUAAGUCUAAAGUCCAUUAUUUGCUUUUGUCCUUCAGGAAGAGAUGGUCCUGACUCUGGGUGGAUCUAACAAGGAUCCUGGAACUCCAAAUAUUUGCAACAGCUGGAGCCCAGCAGGAACAGGGGGGGCACGGCCCGACCCCCCCCAGCGCCUCACCUCCUCCUCCCCUGGGCUCCCUCACGGCCCCUCGCCCCGUGCAAAGGGAGCGCAAACGCAGCCCGGAGGGCAACGGGGCCGGCCGGCCGGCGUCCGUUCGGUCAGUCGCGCGCCUAACGAGUCCUGCCAGCGAGUCCGCUCCGGGGCUCGGGGCCCCCCCCCGACGCUCCCCCUGCCCCUGGGACACCUCUGAUAGCAUAUUUCCGUACAUUCUGUAUGGCACGUCUAAAUAGUUCUGGAUGGUUUUAAUAUUU